UAUUACGUUUUGACAGUUUAUGAUAACAAAAUGUUAAAAUGUGACGUGAUGACGCCAGACGUCAAAGACCAGAGAUUAUAUAUACAUGGAUGUAACCAGUAGGCGGGACCAUUCUGUAGAACGUCGGAGAGAGGAGGCUGUGAAACAGGAUGGUCACCCAGCUGGGUAAAUUGUCCAUGCUUGUCUUAUGAUAUUAAUAAAUGCUUUGUUAAACAAACAUAUUGUUCAAAAUAUUGCUGAGAAGAGGAUAUUUAUGAGGCAUCAUAGGGCAGCUUCCCAGACCUGCUGAGGAAAAGAAAAGCCUGUGCUGAACUUCCAACAGUGGACAAUGUGAACACUAUAGUCUUCAAUUCAUCUUGAGUCUUGACUAUCCAGAACAAAGGCAUUACAAUGAAUGGAACUAGAUUAAAAAUCAGCAUAACCAACACUAAACAGAUGAUCCUGACAGCUCUCUUCUUCUGAUGGUUCCCCUCAUUCUCACAAGCCUCUUUUUUUCCUGGGCUGGGCCUUCUGAGGAUCCUGACAAUAGACAGACUGCAGAAGUCGGUCUGCAGGUGUACGACAAUCCAGAAUCUACAAAUCAGCAGAAAGAAUGACAAUGAAGAUCUUUAUGUUGAUAUAUUUGUGAAUAACCUUCAAUUUCUCUUUGCUUACAUAGAACAACCAGCCAAACAGCAGCAAGACAGGCCCCCCUAUACUUUAUCUGCUUGUAUCUGAAGAAGAAGAAGAAGAAGAAGAAGAAGAAGAAGAAGAAGAAGAAGAAGAAGAAGAAGAAGAAGAAGAAGAAGAAGAAGUGUGUAUUUCAGUGUGAGGGUCAGUUUGUCUUAUAUCUUAUAUAUAGUGUUACAUGAGUACUGGUCUGUCUUUAAACUUCAGGUACCUGAUGAACAGCACAGGGUGCACGACUGCCAGGUAGCGGUCCACACAGAUCUGGCACGGGAACAAGGCUCGACCCACCACAGCCAUAGCAUUGUAAAAGUGUAUCAGAGGGACAAUAGAAACUUCUUUGCAAAAUAUUUGGAUCAGCGAAAGCAAAAAACACAUUGAACACAACAUUUCUAUGAUUAGCAGGUUCAGUGUUAAAAGUUCAGAGUGUACGAGGCUGCGCCUCCCAGAGACGAUCAGCCACAGAGCCCAGCCGUUGACUGGGACGCUGAUCAUGUGGUCGACUAAACCAGUGAAAACAUAAAUGUACAUUUCAGGGGAAAGAUACACCGCGGAUUCAUUGGCCAUUUAUCCUUCUUUUUCUGGAGACCAAUUACCUAAAAUAAAGAAACAGAGGACUCUUAUAUUGAAGAAAAUAAACACAGUUGUAAUUUUUGUGUAUAUAUUAUUGUUAUUAUUGUUAUGUCCUUAGAUUUUGAAAUGUGUAUGUCAUGAGUUUGUGACAAUGGCUAUGCUAAAAGUAAAAAAAAAAGGUUUUUGUUAUUAUAUUAUAAAUAUUAUAUUAAGAUAUAGUUAAUACUUUGAUAAAUGAUUAAUAAAUACUUUGUAAAGCAUCUAUAAACAUUAUUUAGAUAGAUUUGUUAAUGUAAGUGGUUUCUGGUCCAUCUAUCUAUGUAAUGUUUUACAAAUCAUUUGCUAACCUUUAAGAAAUACUUAAUAGUUUAUAAAAUGUUAUGUGUGCAACAACAAUAUAGCAUUACUAAUAAGUAAACAUUAUUAACUGUUAUUUCAUUAUGUAUUAACAUUAAAGUAACUAUUAACCAGAGUUGAAUUAAUUGUUUAAUGGUAAUUAUAUUUUUAUAAUAUAUAUUUUAAGUUUUUCAUAUAUUUCACCAAAGGUUUUGUGCAGUUCACAUUCUGCAUCCUGAAUAAUAACAAUAUUAACAGUAAUAAUGAUAAAACUGUACAUCUAAUAUUAAUCAUUGCUUAUAGCUGCAUUUUAAACAGCACUUACCAGCUGGAGUGUCUGUCCCGAGUCCAGCUUCAGCACCUGCUUCUGUUCAAACAUGGAAGUAAUUCCAUCCACGACACUUUGCAUGUCUUUUAUUUGACUAAUGGCUCACUUGUCAUCACUACACAUUAUGAACACUUCUGAUGUAGCGCUUAACAAAACAUGAACAAAGAAAGAAACUCAAUUCUCAAAAGAGAAAUCAUGACACGCAUCAUCUGAAUCAUACCCCAGGCUGUGAGGAUGCUGAACUCUCCCCCUGCCCCCUAAUGGACCUGGAUUGAAGAUUGUUAUUUUUAUAUAUUUAUUGUUGUACCUCCUUUUUGUAUACCUCUUUUAUGUGUGUAUAUGUACAUAUGUGAGUAUGAGUAUGUACAUGUAUAUAUUUUUAUUUUUUCUGGGACUGAGAAAUGGCAUUUUGAUCUCACUGUUUGUAUCACACACAGAGAAAUUGACAAUAAAAUUGACUUUGAACAUCGA